GAUGAACGCUGGCGGCGUGCCUAAUACAUGCAAGUCGAGCGAACGGACGAGAAGCUUGCUUCUCUGAUGUUAGCGGCGGACGGGUGAGUAACACGUGGAUAACCUACCUAUAAGACUGGGAUAACUUCGGGAAACCGGAGCUAAUACCGGAUGAUAUUUUGAACCGCAUGGUUCAAAAGUGAAAGACGGUCUUGCUGUCACUUAUAGAUGGAUCCGCGCUGCAUUAGCUAGUUGGUAAGGUAACGGCUUACCAAGGCAACGAUGCAUAGCCGACCUGAGAGGGUGAUCGGCCACACUGGAACUGAGACACGGUCCAGACUCCUACGGGAGGCAGCAGUAGGGAAUCUUCCGCAAUGGGCGAAAGCCUGACGGAGCAACGCCGCGCGAGUGAUGAAGGUCUUCGGAUCGUAAAACUCUGUUAUUAGGGAAGAACAUAUGUGUAAGUAACUGUGCACAUCUUGACGGUACCUAAUCAGAAAGCCACGGAUAACUACGUG
rnacentral:rRNA from 1 species